UAUGUAGGGGGCAAGCGUUGUCCGGAUUUAUUGGGCGUAAAGAGCGUGUAGGCGGCCGCACAGGUCCGUUGUGAAAACUGGAGGCUUAACCUUCAGACGUCGAUGGAAACCGUGCAGCUAGAGUCCGGAAGAGGAGAAUGGAAUUCCUGGUGUAGCGGUGAAAUGCGCAGAUAUCAGGAGGAACACCCGUAGCGAAGGCGGCACUCUGGGCCGAUACUGACACUGAGGAGCGAAAGCGUGGGGAGCGAACAGG
rnacentral:rRNA from 1 species